GAUGAACGCUGGCGGCGUGCUUAACACAUGCAAGUCGAACGGGAUCCAGGCAGCUUGCUGCCUGGUGAGAGUGGCGAACGGGUGAGUAAUGCGUGACCGACCUGCCCCAUACACCGGAAUAGCUCCUGGAAACGGGUGGUAAUGCCGGAUGCUCCGACUCCUCGCAUGGGGUGUCGGGAAAGAUUUCAUCGGUAUGGGAUGGGGUCGCGUCCUAUCAGGUAGUCGGCGGGGUAACGGCCCACCGAGCCUACGACGGGUAGCCGGCCUGAGAGGGCGACCGGCCACAUUGGGACUGAGAUACGGCCCAGACUCCUACGGGAGGCAGCAGUGGGGAAUAUUGCACAAUGGGCGCAAGCCUGAUGCAGCGACGCCGCGUGCGGGAUGAC
rnacentral:rRNA from 1 species